CUUACUGGUUAGGUAACGUGUAAUCGAUAUUUUGAAAUGUAUUAUUUAUUUUAUUAUUUUUUGAGUUUCGUUAUGAAAGGAUAGAGAGAGAGAUGAUUGUGGCUCCGUGGGCCGAAUUAGGGGCCCAUCAUUUGUUAUUUGAUGGUUUUUAUUUUGUUAAAAGCAUUUUAUUUUGAGUUAGCUUCUUCUCCACGCACGAUCCAACGGCUAUAAGUACGGAGUCGCUUCUGUUUGGUUAGAGAAACGUCGCCUCAAACGUUAGUAGCUCUUCCUCUCCAGCCUUCUUCUCCUCCUCCUCUGUGGCCUUCAUCAUUCGCUUUUCUUUUCCGAUCUCAUUUAUGGGUUUCCAGUUAGGGUAUUCUCUUCUUCGCUCUCUCGCUCAUUAUCAGUCGAUUAUCGAUGUUGGAAGUACGUAAAAUCAUAUUGCAAUCUUCUUCUUCUUGGUCUGAUCUCGCAGGUUCUAAUCGCACUGGCUCCCGGUUUGGAGUUUUCUCAAUUCCGAUGGAACUCUUAUUUGUUGCCUUUGUCCUCGAUUGAACAAUCCGCUACUUUUUUAUGCCGAAACAAAAAUUUCCUUGGAUUUUGAACUCACCUUCCAGUUCUCUCGUCUCUGUCUUCGAAGCCCUAAAUCCUCCUUUCGAUUAGAUCCUACCGGAACCCUAAAUCAUUCAUUUGAUCACAUCCCGAUGGAAGUUUAAAUCGGUUAGAUCCCACCGUGACCAUAAAUGGUUCUUUUGUUCAUCUCCCCUAUACCUCAUGAAACGAUAAUGCCCUCCUCCCACGUCCGAAAAUCUAUGGAAACCACAAUCUCAUAAUAUUGGAACGGCCAAUAUCUCUGAUCCAAAGUUGGCCGCUUUGAAACUCGAUCACCCAGGAUGAGAUGUCGACAGAGUGGAGGCGUUCGCAUCGACCGCAGUGAAGUUUGCCAAUUGAUUAAAAAUUUUUAACGUCAUCCCAUCCCAUGGCAUCAUCCUGAGAUCUUUCGACACAGGAGGCUAUUGGAGUCUCUGUGGAAUGGAUCCGGGAUCAAUGCCACUGAAAUAGUUUCUGCACAUUCCUGUUGUGUGUGGAUAAUGAUCCUUCCUGCCUCGGAAAAGAUGAUUCCGACUUGCUACUGUCAAAAUGCAGAACAAAGUGGGAAUGAUCACCGAGCUUUACAUUCCAAGGAAGAAGGUGUAUGCAACGAAAUUUGCAAAAAAUAUUUGUCGUUAUUUUCUU